rnacentral:rRNA from 1 species
UGGCUCCAGUAGCAGCGAUAUCUACGAUUCCAGCAAGCGCUUCUUUGAGACGAGAAGCAAAGAUGCGGCUCAGGCUGCUCACUUCAUCAUCUACAACCUUCGCACGCUCGAUGAUGAGGACAUCCUUUGCCUGGGGAGGGUUUCGAGCGCCCUGCAAACAGCAACAACAUCAAGAAAAUGGGAUGAGCUUUUCGGGAAGAAGAAAGGCUGAGUCUCAGGAAUGAGACAAACGUGCAGUAUUACCGUUUCCCACUCAAUUGCACCGUCAGCAUCAACGCUGACGACACUACCGGCCGGUAACGGUCGGUGUGUGCAGGGCAGGAUUCCGGUAAACCAGUCAAUCAUGUAUCGCCUCAGAGAACAAUUUUGUGACCAGAAAGCAUGUCAAGAGCUUAUUAGUACCAAUUCAGUUACACAAGNNNNNNNNNNAAGGUUAAAACUCAAAUGAAUUGACGGGGGCCCGCACAAGCGGUGGAGCAUGUGGUUUAAUUCGAUGCAACGCGAAGAACCUUACCUGGUCUUGACAUCCACGGAAGUUUUCAGAGAUGAGAAUGUGCCUUCGGGAGCCGUGAGACAGGUGCUGCAUGGCUGUCGUCAGCUCGUGUUGUGAAAUGUUGGGUUAAGUCCCGCAACGAGCGCAACCCUUAUCCUUUGUUGCCAGCGGUCCGGCCGGGAACUCAAAGGAGACUGCCAGUGAUAAACUGGAGGAAGGUGGGGAUGACGUCAAGUCAUCAUGGCCUUUACGACCAGGGCUACACACGUGCUACAAUGGCAUAUACAAAGAGAAGCGACCUCGCGAGAGCAAGCGGACCUCAUAAAGUAUGUCGUAGUCCGGAUUGGAGUCUGCAACUCGACUCCAUGAAGUCGGAAUCGCUAGUAAUCGUGGAUCAGAAUGCCACGGUGAAUACGUUCCCGGGCCUUGUACACACCGCCCGUCACACCAUGGGAGUGGGUUGCAAAAGAAGUAGGUAGCUUAACCUUCGGGAGGGCGCUUACCACUUUGUGAUUCAUGACUGGGGUGAAGUCGUAACAAGGUAACCGUAGGGGAACCUGCGGUUG